AAAAAUAAAAAUUAAUAAUAAUAAAUUUAAUAAAAGUAAUUUUAAUAUUAAAAUAAAUAAUGGGGGUUAAAGUAUUUUAAUAGAAAAAAUUAGAAAUUUUAUAGUAAAUUAGUAUAGUAGUAGAAAUUUGAAAUAAGUGAAAAAUAAUUUUUUAAAAAGUAAAUUUAAAUUAUUGUAUCUUGUGUAUCAGAGUUUAUUAAAUAAUAUUUUUAUAUAAAAAUAUCUCGAAUUUAAAAGAGUUAAUUAAUUAAUAAAGUUAAUGUAAAAUAAUUAUUUUAAAUAAUUAAUUUGAAAUGAAAUGUUAAUCGUUUUUAAAUAUAUCUAGUUAUUUUAGAAAAAAAUUUAAUUUUAAAUUUAUUUAUUAAUUAUAUUAAUUAAAUUAAUAUGAUAAAAAGUAAAUUUUAUAAUUUAAGGGAUAAGCUUUAAAUUAAAUUUUUAUAAUAAAUAAUUUAAAUAAAUAAAAUUUUUAAAAUUUAUAUUGUUUAAAAAUUAAAGUUUAUUAUAAAAAAUUUUAUUAAAAAUAAAAUUUAAAUUAAUUUAAUUUUUUAUAAAAAUAUAGUUUUUAAUAUAAAAAAAAUUAGUAAUAAUGAUAAAAUUAGUAUAAUAAAAUAAAAAAAAAUAAAUUUAUUUAAAAUUAAAUAAAAGGAAUUCGGCAAAAUUUAUAUUCACCUGUUUAACAAAAACAUGUCUUUUUGAGAAAUAAUUUAAAGUCUAAUCUGCCCACUGAUUUUAUAUUAAAGGGCUGCAGUAUAUUGACUGUACAAAGGUAGCAUAAUCAUUAGUCUUUUAAUUGAAGACUUGUAUGAAGGAUUUGAUGAAAUAUAAACUGUCUCUUAUUUAUAACUAGAAUUUAAUUUUUUAGUUAAAAAGCUAAAAUAUGAUUAAAAGACGAGAAGACCCUAUAGAGUUUUAUAGUUAUUUAUUUAAAAUAUUUAUAUAAAAUUUUAAUAUUUUAUUUGAAUAAUUAUUAUAUUGGGGUGAUAAAAAAAUUAAUUAAACUUUUUUUAAAAUUUAACAAAAAUAAAUGAAUAGAUGAUCCAUAAAUAAUGAUUAAAAGAAAAAAUUACCUUAGGGAUAACAGCGUAAUAUUUUUUUUUAGUACAAAUAAAAAAAAAAGUUUGCGACCUCGAUGUUGGAUUAAGAUAAAAUUUAAAUGCAAAAGUUUAAAAUUUUGAUCUGUUCGAUCAUUAAAAUCUUACAUGAUCUGAGUUCAAACCGGUGUAAGCCAGGUUGGUUUCUAUCUUUAAUUAAAUAGGAUAUUUUA
rnacentral:rRNA from 1 species